AGUGAACGCUGGCGGUAGGCCUAACACAUGCAAGUCGAACGGCAGCACAGUAAGAGCUUGCUCUUACGGGUGGCGAGUGGCGGACGGGUGAGGAAUACAUCGGAAUCUACUUUUUCGUGGGGGAUAACGUAGGGAAACUUACGCUAAUACCGCAUACGACCUACGGGUGAAAGCAGGGGAUCUUCGGACCUUGCGCGAUUGAAUGAGCCGAUGUCGGAUUAGCUAGUUGGCGGGGUAAAGGCCAACCAAGGCGACGAUCCGUAGCUGGUCUGAGGGGAUGAUCAGCCACACUGGAACUGAGACACGGUCCAGACUCCUACGGGAGGCAGCAGUGGGGAAUAUUGGACAAUGGGCGCAAGCCUGAUCCAUCCAUACCGCGUGGGUGAAGAAGGCCUUCGGGUUGUAAAGCCCUUUUGUUGGGAAAGAAAAGCAGCAGGUUAAUACCCCGCUGUUCUGACGUUACCCAAAGAAUAAGCACCGGCUAACUUCGUG
rnacentral:rRNA from 1 species